AUGCGCUAGAGGUCAUACCAGUUCCCAACAUUAAUUUCCAUUCUUUAACUUUGUCAGCUGGGAUUAUUUAUUUUCAGUUGAUUUUCAUGGCUGGUACAUUA
rfam:Jatropha curcas cultivar GZQX0401 scaffold201_58, whole genome shotgun sequence.